rnacentral:rRNA from 1 species
GUCUACGGCCAUGCUACCCUGAACAAGUCAGAUCUCAUCUGAUCUCGGAAAUUAAGCAGGAUCGGGCCUGGUUAGUACUUGGAUGGAAGACCACCUUUGGAUGGGAGACCACCUAGGAAGACCAGGUGCUGUACGUG